rnacentral:rRNA from 1 species
GUCUACGACUGUACCACCCUGAAUGCACCCGAUCUUGUCUGGUCUCGGAAGUUAAGCAGGGUAGGGCCUGGAUAGUACUUGGAAGGGAGAAUAGGUGUGUUAGUGC